UCCUUCUGUCUCCCCUGACAUUUGUCCUAUUUUCAGACCCUCCUCUUAAUUUUUUUUCCAGACUUCAAAACGCCAAACAGCAAUCUUUCCACAAGGACCAGGAUCAAAACCUAGGACUGUUACUGGCAAAUAUCUUAUUCUUCCUAGCUGCCACUUGCUACAAAGGAGGUAUCUUUUCCUACCAGCUUUUCAGCUAACAGUUCCUAAUAGAAAAAAAGAAGCAUUAAAUGAAAUGUCUUAUUGUCCAGGACAGAUUUAUACAGAUUCCUGCUUACUCUUGACCUGUAAUUUUCAUAUUUCAAAGAAAACCUGCUCAAGGAAAGUCCAUUAACAAAGAGAACAGGCAAGCAGCUGAAAUGAGACAGAACAACACCGUUCAAUCACUACAGCAAUAAAUACUUUAAAAGGCUGUGAAAAAUCACUGGAACCUGCAGCUCUCCUUGGCCCAGAAUUCCACCCAGUGACUCACUACUUGCCUGAAGGUCACCAAAGGGGAAUCAGGUGACCCCGAGACACUGCAACCGUCAUAAGUAUGAGUCAGUUGCCAAGCGGAUGAAUUCUGUUCAUGUGAU